rnacentral:lncRNA from 10 species
CCAGGAUGGUCUCCAUCUCUUGACCGUGUGAUCUGCCCGCCUUGGCCUCCCAAAGUGCUGGGAUUACAGGCGUGAGCCACUGCGCCCGGCCAUAGCUAUUUUUUAUAUAAAAGAUGCAGGGGUUAGGAAAUGAUUUUCAAUUAUAGCUAACAUAAAUUUCUCAAUAAAUUAGGUUAAAAGAGUACCCACUUAUUACAUUAUCUCAAGUUAAUCUCUAUUACAAGAUCCUCCAAAGAGAAAAAGUAUCAUCUUUUUGAAUUCUGGAGAAAUCCAGCCAAUUCAGUCUUCUCAGCCAAGAUGGAAGCCCUCCCUCUUCCUUUCAAUUCAGUGGAGUCUCAGAUCCGCAAUUACUGAUCGUGGAGCCUCUCCAGGACUACAGGCUCUUCCUCAGCGGCUGCCAAGCUCCUCUUAGGGAAGCCGGGGAACUUCUGAAUGCCCAAGUAUACCCUGCUGGAGGCACAGGAAUCCUCUUGGAAGCUUUGUCUGGACAUGCUUUAAUACCGUCCAUUUCUACUGUUGCCAUACCAAGCCGCUACUGGUCACCACUGUAAAUCUUUCUGCUGUUUUUUAUAACCACAAAGUAUAGCACAAUUUCUGUCUGCUUUCAUGCACCUAAAACUAUUGUGGUUUUUGCCUUUCCCGGUCUCAUUAGCUAAAACAAAGAGUUGAUAAAGGCACAGGCCCUUUCUCAAGAAACAAAAUGUUGUCUGUCUUCUUUCUGCAGUGAAACAGAAUGUAAAGUCCAGAAAUAAACGUGUAAUUAAAUAAUUGUGUUUUUUUUGACAAAGAUACUAACACAAUUUAAUAGGGAAACGGCAGCAUUCUCAAUAAAUCAUGUGAAACUAGAUACUAAUUCACUCAAUAAACAAGGGUUAAUUUGAGAUGUAGCAUAGGUCUGAACAUAAAAGUUUCUAGGAGAAAAUGUUGGUGACUGUUUUUCAGGCUGUGGGAUGAGCAAAUAUUUCUUACACUGAACACAAAAAGCACUAACCACAAAAAAUACCCAAAAAUAUUUUUUAAUCAAAAUUAAAAUAAUUUGCUCAUAAACACCAGUAAGACAAUGAAAAAGCAAGCUGCAUGCUGCUAAAAAAAAUUGACAGCACGUGUAUUGAUAAAAUG